rnacentral:rRNA from 1 species
GUCAACGGUCAUACCACGCUGAAAACACCAGUUCUCGUCCGAUCACUGCAGUUAAGCAGCGUUGGGCACGGUUAGUACUUGGCAAAUUUUGCAGCGGUGCUG